GUGUGCUCUUGCGAGCCGCCCUGGCGGUCAUCACUCAUCCUUUUGGGUGUAGGCUCCCCGCCCCUGCCUUCAUCCAUCGGCAGGAGACGAGAUCCACUCAUCGCUGGACGGAUCCGAGACGGGGCCUACGCCAAAGACUGUUACCUAUUCAGGACUCUUUAUCAUGCUUGUAUCCAAG